GCAGUAAGGCUGAGUAUUAGGCAAAUCCGGUACUCGUUAAGGCUGAGCUGUGAUGGGGAGAAGACAUUGUAUCUUCGAGUCGUUGAUUUCACACUGCCGAGAAAAGCCUCUAGAUAGAAAAUAGGUUCCCGUACCGCAAACCGACACAGGUAGUCAAGAUGAGAAUUCUAAGGUGAGCGAGCGAACUCUCGUUAAUGAACUCGGCAAAAUGACCCCGUAACUUAGGGAGAAGGGGUGCUCU
rnacentral:rRNA from 1 species